GGGAUUUAGGUUAAAUUAUAAACCAAGGGCCUUCAAAGCCCUAAACAAGAGUGAAAAUCUCUUAAUCUCU
rnacentral:tRNA from 1 species